AAUUCAGCUUCUGAAAAAUACGGUCUUCCUCACUGCAGACACCAUGCCAGCGUUUUAAAUCAAGUUGGCUACUCGUGCUGUUUAGAGUAUGCAGUUUGCCUGUGGCAAUAUUAAACUCAUCUGGAAGAAAGCACUUAAACCUAUCCAGUUCCUCAUCGGUGAUGUUAUCCAGGCUGGUUAGCAAGAGUAUCUCCUUAUAUUUACUCUCCAUCUCACGACUUUUCAGCUUAUAAGGGAUCCAAACUAUGUAAGAUUAUACCACCAAAAGUGAUUCAACAUUCAAAAUGAAGCAAGAGAAAAAUACACUGCUGAGCAGAGGAUUAAACAGACUCCUCACACUACCGGAAGUUCAGUGCAUUUUCCAGGAUUUUCAAGUCUUCGAUGCUGUCAUGUUGAGAGUCCACUAUCCACGUUUGUUUAUCCAGGAAUAAUGCAGAAAAUCUGAGCAUUCGUGAAUCUAAUCAUUGAGAUACUUCAUUUUCUUAGCGUUUCUGGAGAUUACAACAUCCUGCGGUUCCGUUUCUGGGAACUUUACUGAUUUAUCUCCCCCCUCACACAAAUAAGCAUUGAUUCCUGCAUUUCUGAAGAUCUCAAGAUCUGGACUACUGUUGAAAAAAUUUCCAGUGAGGCUCACUUAUGUCUGUAAAGAUGGG
rnacentral:lncRNA from 1 species